GACUGUGUGAUGGGAUUUUCCCCUUGAAAAAGGGGUGCCUUUUGAGGUAGUAUCUGCUGUAAAAACCCCUUAAACCUUCGUGCUAAAAGAUGCCUUCCAGGUACAGAUCCUUGCCUUCUGAGCAUGGUAGCUGAUGUUCCGAUCUGGAUCACGGAACUGCACAGAUUUCCUAGAACUUUUGUUAGGUCUUCUAGAGAUGCCACCAGUUACAAGACACAGCUAUGUGUUGUAUUACAGGCUGUCGUCAGUGAUCUUCAGCUCGCUGUGAACGAUUUCUUACACUUUUACACUAUGUUUUGGUUUUCUCUAUGCUUUUAGUUUGUACUCAUAACAAUGUUUGCUGAGUCUGGUAAUUCUUCUUGUCAGACUGGAGGUACUGGAACUUGAAGCUUUUUUGCAUCAUAAAUCAGUACCAUCUCAGCAAGAACCUGAGCUCUCUUCAUUCCGUGAAGAGAAUAAGCACUUUUUUGGACCAACCUCCCGUUCUGACAGUCGAUGAAAUUAAUGUUUUUGUUUUGCACUCCACUGCCAGAGUAACUGAUGCAGCAUAAAACAUUGAUCUGUAACUUGUCCAUUCAUCAAAACUUGAAUAAAACAGUUUUGUGAUAUCUUC